UACGUAGGGCGCAAGCGUUGUCCGGAAUUAUUGGGCGUAAAGCGCUCGUAGGCGGUCUGUUGCGUCCGCUGUGAAAGCCCGGGGCUUAACCCCUGGCUGGCAGUGGAUACGGACAGACUAGAGGUAGGUAGGGGAGAAUGGAAUUCCCGGUGUAGCGGUGAAAUGCGCAGAUAUCGGGAGGAACACCGGUGGCGAAGGCGGUUCUCUGGGCCUUACCUGACGCUGAGGAGCGAAAGCGUGGGGAGCGAACAGG
rnacentral:rRNA from 1 species